CCCCUCUCAGAAUGGCAUCUGGAGAGUUUCCAGUACUUUAUCAGUCUUGGCUAUAGGAGGGAGAGUUAAGCAGAGGCAUACCCAUUCCAUUCCCAGCUAGGACAGUGGCUACUGAGUGGAAGGUAAUCUGCUACAAGU
rfam:Ornithorhynchus anatinus chromosome 3, whole genome shotgun sequence.